GACGAACGCUGGCGGCGUGCCUAAUACAUGCCAGUCGAGCGGACGAAUCGAAAGCUUGCUUUUGAUUCGUUAGCGGCGGACGGGUGAGUAACACGUGGGCAACCUGCCCUGUAGGCGGGGAUAACACCGAGAAAUCGGUGCUAAUACCGGAUAACACGAAAUGUCGCAUGACGUUUCGUUGAGAGACGGCGCAAGCUGUCGCUACAGGAUGGGCCCGCGGCGCAUUAGCUAGUUGGUGAGGUAACGGCUCACCAAGGCGACGAUGCGUAGCCGACCUGAGAGGGUGAUCGGCCACACUGGGACUGAGACACGGCCCAGACUCCUACGGGAGGCAGCAGUAAGGAAUCUUCCGCAAUGGACGAAAGUCUGACGGAGCAACGCCGCGUGAGCGAAGAAGGCCUUCGGGUCGUAAAGCUCUGUUGUUAGGGAAGAACAAGUAACGCAGUAACUGGCGUUACCGUGACGGUACCUAACGAGAAAGCCACGGCUAACUACGUG
rnacentral:rRNA from 1 species